CGACAAGCUGGAAAAGGGCGUAUGGGGAAUGCCUAGGCUCUCAGAGGCGAGGAAGGACGUGAUAAGCUGCGAAAAGCCGCGGGGAUCGGCACAUACGAUAUGAUCCGCGGAUAUCCGAAUGGGGCAACCCGGCA
rnacentral:rRNA from 1 species